GAAACAGUUGCUAAGACUGGAUAGGAAAAGUAAAGGCAUCUUCACUUUUUUAAAAGACCUUCUUUGAAGGUAUGCUUAAGGAGGGGCUUGCGACACAUUAGUUAGUUGGCAGGGUAAAGGCCUACCAAGACUAUGAUGUGUAGCUGGACUGAGAGGUUGAACAGCCACAUUGGGACUGAGACACGGCCCAAACUCCUACGGGAGGCAGCAGUAGGGAAUUUUCGGCAAUGGAGGAAACUCUGACCGAGCAACGCCGCGUGAACGAUGAAGUAUUUCGGUAUGUAAAGUUCUUUUAUUAAGGAAGAAAAAAGAGUGGAAAAACUCCCUUGACGGUACUUAAUGAAUAAGCCCCGGCUUAUUAUGUGCCAGCAGCCGCGGUAAUACAUAAGGGGCGAGCGUUAUCCGGAAUUAUUGGGCGUAAAGGGUGCGUAGGCGGUUUAAUAAGUCUAUAGUUUAAUUUCAGUGCUUAACGCUGUUAUGCUAUAGAAACUGUUUUACUAGAGUGAGAUAGAGGCAAGCGGAAUUCCAUGUGUAGCGGUAAAAUGCGUAAAUAUAUGGAGGAACACCAGAGGCGUAGGCGGCUUGCUGGGUCUUUACUGACGCUGAGGCACGAAAGCGUGGGGAGCAGACAGGAUUAGAUACCCUGGUAGUCCACGCCGUAAACGAUGAGUACUAAGUGUCGGGUAAAACCGGUACUGAAGUUAACACAUUAAGUACUCCGCCUGAGUAGUACGUACGCAAGUAUGAAACUUAAAGAAAUUGACGGGACUCCGCACAAGCGGUGGAUCAUGUUGUUUAAUUCGAAGAUACACGAAAAACCUUACCAGGUCUUGACAUUUUCUUGCGAAGUUAUAGAAAUAUAAUGGAGGUUAUCAGGAAAACAGGUGGUGCAUGGUUGUCGUCAGCUCGUGUCGUGAGAUGUUAGGUUAAGUCCUAAAACGAGCGCAACCCUUGUCGUUAAUUGCCAGCAUGUAAUGAUGGGGACUUUAACGAGACUGCCAAUGAAAAAUUGGAGGAAGGUGGGGAUUACGUCAAAUCAUCAUGCCCCUUAUGAUCUGGGCUACAAACGUGAUACAUUGGUUGAUACAAAGAGUAGCUGAAACGCGAGUUCUUAGCCAAUCUCACAAAAUCAAUCUCGGUUCGGAUUGAAGUCUGCAACUCGACUUCAUGAAGUUGGAAUCGCUAGUAAUCGCGAAUCAGCAUGUCGCGGUGAAUACGUUCUCGGGGUUUGUACACACCGCCCGUCAC
rnacentral:rRNA from 1 species